AAAUUUAUCUGAGUUUCACAUCAGUACAGAAACAGGAAGAGAGAAGUCAGAUCAACAUGGGACAUUCGUUAAUUAUCAAAUUAAAUAUGCUCUUAACUGCAGGCAAUCUUUUAUCUGCAAUGGCGGAUGCCGAAAGACGGAUAGAGACAUUAACAGAUGAAGGAAAGGAUGGAGAAAAGCAAGUUUUUAGUAAGAAGACAGUGAUUAAUUUGGGAAUCAUUCAGGAGUCACCGAAUGGACCAGAUGUGUUCGUGAGUCACUCUGAGGUCUCCACACAGACUGGAUGUCUCUGAGAAUCUGCUCUCAGACUUUAGACAGAAA
rnacentral:lncRNA from 1 species